UGCCUCUCUCAAUGUUAAGUGACUGAACACCCCGAACAAGCGCAGGUUACUGUUAAGGGACCUGAAAUCACGCAAAACAGACAUUGCCCUUAUACAAGAAACCCACACACCCAGAACAGCAUCAGUAACCCUGAAAGACAGAUACUUCCCACAGACCCACGAAGCGAGAGCGCUACACAAACGCGCCGGAGUGGCAAUAUUAGUACACAAAAACUGCCCACUCCAGG